rnacentral:rRNA from 1 species
UAAAGCACUUUCGGUGGGGAAGAAAGCUCAGAGGUUAAUACCCUAUGAGGAUGACGUUACUCACAGAAGAAGCACCGGCUAACUCUGUGC